rnacentral:rRNA from 1 species
UGGGGAAUAUUGGACAAUGGGCGCAAGCCUGAUCCAGCAAUGCCGCGUGUGUGAAGAAGGCCUUCGGGUUGUAAAGCACUUUUAUCAGGAGCGAAAUACUAUCGGUUAAUAACCGGUGGGGCUGACGGUACCCGAGGAAUAAGCACCGGCUAACUUCGUGCCAGCAGCCGCGGUAAUAUGAAGGGUGCAAGCGUUAAUCGGAAUUACUGGGCGUAAAGGGUGCGUAGGCGGUUAGUUAAGUCUGUUGUGAAAUCCCCGGGCUCAACCUGGGAAUGGCAAUGGAUACUGGCUAGCUAGAGUGUGUCAGAGGAUGGUGGAAUUCCCGGUGUAGCGGUGAAAUGCGUAGAGAUCGGGAGGAACAUCAGUGGCGAAGGCGGCCAUCCGGGACAACACUGACGCUGAAGCACGAAAGCGUGGGGAGCAAACAG